CAGUCGCCACGGUAAUACGAAGGGGGCUAGCGUUGUUCGGAAUUACUGGGCGUAAAGCGUGCGCAGGCGGUUAUAUAAGUCAGAUGUGAAAUCCCCGGGCUCAACCUGGGAACUGCAUUUGAGACUGUAUGGCUAGAGUGUGUCAGAGGGGGGUAGAAUUCCACGUGUAGCAGUGAAAUGCGUAGAUAUGUGGAGGAAUACCGAUGGCGAAGGCAGCCCCCUGGGAUAACACUGACGCUCAUGCACGAAAGCGUGGGGAGCAAACAGGAUUAGAUACCCGGGUAGUCCCUGUCUCUUAUAU
rnacentral:rRNA from 1 species